GAUUUCUGCUAAAAUCACAGCAGCUUUGGCAGCUUGGAGAGAUUCAGUGGUCAAAACCAGUGGGGCCUUAGAUCAGUCCUCACUUGCCAGUGUGGGUAGGUGGAGCCAAAGUCCCUACUUGU